rnacentral:lncRNA from 1 species
GGAGGCCUCCAUCUCAAAACAACGUGUUUUUAGAGAACUCAAGGGCUGUGAAAAGAGCAGGACCUCACCAGCUGCACGGCGGUGGUGACUGGCUCCAUCUUGCUGUCCCUCCCAAUCACACAACAUCUCCCCUUGAAGGCUCUGCCCAGGCCCGGACUCCCACCUUUCAAGAUGUCUGGAUCAGUGCAGGACCUCCUCCUUGGCCACAUCGCUCUCCUUGGACUGGUUCAAGUGAUUCUCCCACCUCAGCCUCCCAAGUAGGAUUACAGUGUUGACUCACCUGUGGAGUGGUCUGAGCCUGAAUGCCCGGGGCUGUGGCCACCGAGUGAACGGGCUGUGCUAAGGGGAAUUGCCACCUUGGGAAACCUGUGUAGUUGCGGCUUUUCUGAUUAAGUAUCAAUAAAAGUCUGACCUUGUGAAAAAAGCAAACGUGAGUGGCCCUGCUUAUGUUUCACCUUGCGUUGCUCAGUGAUAGUUCUGCAAAGUCGCAGGAAACCUGGAAUCAUCUAAUUAUCGUGAGUGUUGGUUCCUUAUUUAAUAAUGUCUAGUUGAUUCAUUAACAUGGAAUUCAUGGCCAGUACCUCUGUCACUCAUGCCUGACUGAAGUUGAUCAGCACGUCUUUUUCUCCCUUAGGCACAUGACAGCCUUCUUGCAAUCAAGAAACUACGUGUGG